UACAGAGGUCCCGAGCGUUGUUCGGAUUCAUUGGGCGUAAAGGGUGCGUAGGCGGCGGGGCAAGUCUGAUGUGAAAUCCCCAGGCUCAACCUGGGAACUGCGUCUGAUACUGGAUGGCUUGAAUCCGGGAGAGGGAUGCAGAAUUCCAGGUGUAGCGGUGAAAUGCGUAGAUAUCUGGAGGAAUACCGGUGGCGAAGGCGGCAUCCUGGACCGGCAUUGACGCUGAGGAGCGAAAGCCAGGGGAGCAAACGGG
rnacentral:rRNA from 1 species